rnacentral:lncRNA from 1 species
CGCAAGGAAGACUCUCUACACAACCGAAGAUGGGUCUCUCUCUUCCACUCGUUUCUGCGAGAAAGAGCUCCUGCAAGUGGUGGAAUGUCAGCCGGUGUUCUCCUACAUCGACGACCCGGCAAACACCUCCUACGCGCUCCUCCUCCAACUCCGGGAAGUUCUCGUGGAAAAGUCGCUGACCAGCGAAGAGGACAAGGAUGGGUACUUCGUAUUCAAGAAGAUAACCGAGUUCACGAAUGACCUGAAGGUGAGAGUGGCCAAGGACGUAGAGGUGGCCAGGGAGAAGUUCGAGAAGGGUGAGUACUUGGUCGGAAAGAGAAUCGGAAAGUGCAGGACUAAUGGAGUGUACCAACUGGUGAGGAAUGUUGCCCAGACGGAAAUAUUGACCGGAGAGAAGAAGGUGAGUCCCGGCGAGUGCAUCGAGAAAGUGUACGAUUGCAUACUGCAAGGUA